ensembl:snoRNA SNORA66 Small nucleolar RNA SNORA66
UUACAUUCCUUUUAAAACUGUAAUAGAAAUGUUUAGACUCAGAAGUUUCUGAGGGAUCCCAUUCUAUUUCAGUACAGUG